UACGGGGGGGGCAAGCGUUGUUCGGAAUUACUGGGCGUAAGGGGCUCGUAGGUGGCCAACUAAGUCGGACGUGAAAUCCCUCAGCUUAACUGGGGAACUGCGUCCGAUACUGGAUGGCUCGAGUUUGGGAGAGGGAUGCGGAAUUCCAGGUGUAGCGGUGAAAUGCGUAGAUAUCUGGAGGAACACCGGUGGCGAAGGCGGCAUCCUGGACCAACACUGACACUGAGGAGCGAAAGCCAGGGGAGCAAACGGG
rnacentral:rRNA from 1 species